GGGAGCUUGGCUCAGUUGGAAGAGCGCAGGUCUCAUACGAUUACAAGUAUGAUCUGGCUGUCUUAACACCAGAGUUAUCCUGAGGUCGUGAGUUCGAGCCUCACAGUUCCCA
rfam:Podospora anserina genomic DNA, chromosome 1.